CCUACGGGUGGCAGCAGUGAGGAAUAUUGGUCAAUGGGCUUACGCCUGAACCAGCCAAGUCGCGUGAGGGAAGACUGCCCUAUGGGUUGUAAACCUCUUUUUCCAGGGAGCAACGCCGGCUACGUGUAGCCGGACUGAGAGUACCUGAAGUAAAAGCAUCGGCCAAGCUCGCGCCAGCAGCCGCGGUAAUACGGAGGAUGCGAGCGUAAUCCGGAUGUGUUGGGUUUAAAGGGUGCGUAGGCGGAAUGCCAAGUCAGCUGUAAAAUCGCGGGGCUCAACCUCGCUCCGCCGUUGAAACUGGCGUUCUUGAGUGGGCGAGAAGUAUGCGGAAUGCGUGGUGUAGCGGUGAAAUGCAUAGAUAUCACGCAGAACUCCGAUUGCGAAGGCAGCAUACCGGCGCCCAACUGACGCUGAAGCACGAAAGCGUGGGUAUCGAACAGGAUUAGAUACCCCUGUAGUC
rnacentral:rRNA from 1 species